rnacentral:rRNA from 1 species
GGUUAAGUGACUAAGCGUACACGGUGGAUGCCUAGGCAGUCAGAGGCGAUGAAGGGCGUGCUAAUCUGCGAAAAGCGUCGGUAAGGUGAUAUGAACCGUUAUAACCGGCGAUACCCGAAUGGGGAAACCCAGUGUGUUUCGACACACUAUCAUGUCAUGAAUACAUAGUGGCAUGAGGCGAACCGGGGGAACUGAAACAUCUAAGUACCCCGAGGAAAAGAAAUCAACCGAGAUUCCCCCAGUAGCGGCGAGCGAACGGGGAGGAGCCCAGAACCUGAAUCGGCUUGUGUGUUAGUGGAAGCGUCUGGAAAGUCGCGCAGUAAAGGGUGAUAGCCCCGUACACUAAAAUGCACAGGUCGUGAGUUCGAUGAGUAGGGCGGGACACGUGACAUCCUGUCUGAAUAUGGGGGGACCAUCCUCCAAGGCUAAAUACUCCUGACUGACCGAUAGUGAACCAGUACCGUGAGGGAAAGGCGAAAAGAACCCCGGCGAGGGGAGUGAAAUAGAACCUGAAACCGUGUACGUACAAGCAGUGGGAGCACCUUCGUGGUGUGACUGCGUACCUUUUGUAUAAUGGGUCAGCGACUUAUAUUUUGUAGCAAGGUUAACCGUAUAGGGGAGCCGUAGGGAAACCGAGUCUUAACUGGGCGAAUAGUUGCAAGGUAUAGACCCGAAACCCGGUGAUCUAGCCAUGGGCAGGUUGAAGGUUGGGUAACACUAACUGGAGGACCGAACCGACUAAUGUUGAAAAAUUAGCGGAUGACUUGUGGCUGGGGGUGAAAGGCCAAUCAAACCGGGAGAUAGCUGGUUCUCCCCGAAAGCUAUUUAGGUAGCGCCUCGUGAACUCAUCUUCGGGGGUAGAGCACUGUUUCGGCUAGGGGGCCAUCCCGGCUUACCAAACCGAUGCAAACUCCGAAUACCGAAGAAUGUUAUCACGGGAGACACACGGCGGGUGCUAACGUCCGUCGUGAAGAGGGAAACAACCCAGACCGCCAGCUAAGGUCCCAAAGUCAUGGUUAAGUGGGAAACGAUGUGGGAAGGCAUAGACAGCCAGGAUGUUGGCUUAGAAGCAGCCAUCAUUUAAAGAAAGCGUAAUAGCUCACUGGUCGAGUCGGCCUGCGCGGAAGAUGUAACGGGGCUAAACCAUGCACCGAAGCUGCGGCAGCGACGCUUAGGCGUUGUUGGGUAGGGGAGCGUUCUGUAAGCCGUUGAAGGUGGCCUGUGAGGGUUGCUGGAGGUAUCAGAAGUGCGAAUGCUGACAUAAGUAACGAUAAAGCGGGUGAAAAGCCCGCUCGCCGGAAGACCAAGGGUUCCUGUCCAACGUUAAUCGGGGCAGGGUGAGUCGACCCCUAAGGCGAGGCUGAAAAGCGUAGUCGAUGGGAAACAGGUUAAUAUUCCUGUACUUGGUGUUACUGCGAAGGGGGGACGGAGAAGGCUAGGCUAGCCGGGCGACGGUUGUCCCGGUUUAAGCGUGUAGGGGGUGUGACCUGGUAAAUCCGGUUGCAUGCUAACCCUGAGGCGUGAUGACGAUGCACUACGGUGCAGAAGUAGUUGAUGCCCUGCUUCCAGGAAAAUCCUCUAAGCUCCAGGUAACAUUAAAUCGUACCCCAAACCGACACAGGUGGUCAGGUAGAGAAUACCAAGGCGCUUGAGAGAACUCGGGUGAAGGAACUAGGCAAAAUGGUGCCGUAACUUCGGGAGAAGGCACGCUGGCAUGUAGGUGAAGUCCCUUGCGGAUGGAGCUGAAGCCAGUCGAAGAUACCAGCUGGCUGCAACUGUUUAAUAAAAACACAGCACUGUGCAAACACGAAAGUGGACGUAUACGGUGUGACGCCUGCCCGGUGCUGGAAGGUUAAUUGAUGGGGUCAGCCGCAAGGCGAAGCUCUUGAUCGAAGCCCCAGUAAACGGCGGCCGUAACUAUAACGGUCCUAAGGUAGCGAAAUUCCUUGUCGGGUAAGUUCCGACCUGCACGAAUGGCGUAAUGAUGGCCAGGCUGUCUCCACCCGAGACUCAGUGAAAUUGAACUCGCUGUGAAGAUGCAGUGUACCCGCGGCAAGACGGAAAGACCCCGUGAACCUUUACUAUAGCUUGACACUGAACAUUGAGCCUUGAUGUGUAGGAUAGGUGGGAGGCUUUGAAGCGUGGACGCCAGUCUGCGUGGAGCCAUCCUUGAAAUACCACCCUUUAAUGUUUGAUGUUCUAACUCGGCCCCAUAAUCUGGGGUGAGGACAGUGUCUGGUGGGUAGUUUGACUGGGGCGGUCUCCUCCCAAAGAGUAACGGAGGAGCACGAAGGUUAGCUAAUCACGGUCGGACAUCGUGAGGUUAGUGCAAAGGCAUAAGCUAGCUUGACUGCGAGAGUGACGGCUCGAGCAGGUACGAAAGUAGGUCUUAGUGAUCCGGUGGUUCUGAAUGGAAGGGCCAUCGCUCAACGGAUAAAAGGUACUCCGGGGAUAACAGGCUGAUACCGCCCAAGAGUUCAUAUCGACGGCGGUGUUUGGCACCUCGAUGUCGGCUCAUCACAUCCUGGGGCUGAAGUAGGUCCCAAGGGUAUGGCUGUUCGCCAUUUAAAGUGGUACGCGAGCUGGGUUUAGAACGUCGUGAGACAGUUCGGUCCCUAUCUGCCGUGGGCGUUGGAAGAUUGAGAGGGGUUGCUCCUAGUACGAGAGGACCGGAGUGAACGCACCACUGGUGUUCGGGUUGUCAUGCCAAUGGCAUUGCCCGGUAGCUAAGUGCGGAAAAGAUAAGCGCUGAAAGCAUCUAAGCGCGAAACUUGCCUCAAGAUGAGUCUUCCCUGGGCCUUUAAGGUCCCUGAAGGAACGUUUAAGACUAAGACGUUGAUAGGCUGGGUGUGUAAGUGCAGCGAUGCAUUGAGCUAACCAGUACUAAUGAUCCGUGAGGCUUAACCUU